AUCAUUUGUCUACAAAAUGUCUACAUUGGAUUAGCCAAAUGCAUAAUUUUAUGAUUUUUAGCUACAGUGAUGUCCUAUCACCAAUCAUAUUUGGCCUAGCAAUAUUCAUAAACCAAAUGAAUAUUUUACUAAAAAAAUAUCAUCCAACUGCUUCUCUCUCCUUUCCCUUUUAUUUCUCUCAUAUUGCUCGAGUCUCCCUCUUCUCUUUUUCACGGGAGUCCACCAUUUCUCUCUCUUUUCUCUUCGAUUUUCUCUCUAUUGCUUCCAAAACAUCUAUUUGUGACGAUUUUGACUAGGGAUUUUGAAGAUAUUAUCUUUGUUGGUGAAUUUCACAAGGGCCGUUGACGAUUUUCUCUCCAAUUUUGAUGAUUUUCUCUUUAAUGGCUGCCAAAACAUCUAGUCCAAAUCUCUGUCCUAGAGUGCCCAUUUCCUUCACACAAAAGCCACUUCAGCUGUUACUCGUCGACAUAACACCACUUAAGCCAUGUGGGUCAGGUGGUUGAAGAAAUCCAAGCUUCUAUUUAUAAAAACAGCACCGAAAAACUUCAUCUACCUUGGAGAUGGGAAUGGUGAUUAUUGCCCUACUCUGAAGCUUGGUGAAGGUGAUUAUGUGACGCCGAGGAAGAAUUAUCCUAUGUGGAAACACUUUGUGAAUGACUGCUAGUCAAGGCAAAAGUCCAGGAGUGGAGCACUGGAGAGGAGCUGGAGAGGGUCCUACUAUAUCUUAUGUAGCUUGCACGAAGGAAUAGGACUUUAUUAUUGGCUGAACUGGUGCUUGUUAAAAGUAUUUGUUUAGUUUUGCUGAGAUUGAAACUACUAUACUACAGUUGGGUUUUUGAUUGUAUAAUAUAGAAUUAUGGUUGGCCGAUUUUGCUUUUCAAUCUCACUACAUUUAUUGGAGAGAUUAGAUAGAUAAAAUAUAAAAUGCAAGUGCCCUGGUGCUGCCUA